rnacentral:rRNA from 1 species
UACGAAGGGGGCUAGCGUUGUUCGGAAUCACUGGGCGUAAAGGGCGCGUAGGCGGCCGAUCAAGUCGGGGGUGAAAGCCUGUGGCUCAACCACAGAAUUGCCUUCGAUACUGUUUGGCUUGAGACCGGAAGAGGUUAGUGGAACUGCGAGUGUAGAGGUGAAAUUCGUAGAUAUUCGCAAGAACACCAGUGGCGAAGGCGGCUGACUGGUCCGGUUCUGACGCUGAGGCGCGAAAGCCAGGGGAGCGAACGGG